rnacentral:rRNA from 1 species
GAUGAACGCUGGCGGCGUGCCUAAUACAUGCAAGUCGAGCGAACAGAGGGGGAGCUUGCUCCUCGGACGUUAGCGGCGGGCGGGUGAGUAACACGUGUAUAACCUACCUUUGAGGCUGGGAUAACUUCGGGAAACCAGAGCUAAUACCGUAUAAUAUGUUGAACCACAAGGUUCAAUAGUAAAAGACAAUUUUGCUGUCACUUAUAGGUGGAUCCGCGCCGCAGUAGCUAGUUGAGAAGGUAACGGCUUACAAAGGCAACGCUGCGUAGCCGACCGGAGAGGGUGAUCGGCAAAACUGGAACUGAGCAACGGUCCAGACUCCUACGGGAGGCAGAAGUAGGGAAUCUUCCGCAAUGGCCGAAAGCCUGACGGAGCAACGCCGCGUGAGUGAGGAAGGUCUUCGGAUCGUAAGACUCUGUUAUUAGGGAAGAACAAAUGUGUAAGUAACUAUGCACGUCUUGACGGUACCUAAUCAGAAAGCGACGGCUAACUACGUG